rnacentral:lncRNA from 1 species
AGACAGCUUCGCUGUCGAAACGUUGGUUAUUACAUUUUUGCAUCUGAGCUCUUAGAGUGUGCGGCUUUCCUUUAUUUUCUAGUGUUCUACUCCGCUAGCCAGCACCUCGCCUUUAAAGGUGUGCGUUUCUUUUUUCUAGAAGAAUCUCUGAAUUAACUAUCUAAUGUUAGCUAAAUAUAGUAAUGAAUUAAUUGGAUAAAUUUCUUUCAAUUGACAAUUCUGUGAACUGUCUUGUGCAAGUUUUACAUUGGCACAGUACCUGGGGUCAGCUCGUGCAAGCACUUGCAGGGAUUUGUAGUUUUGCAUCAUGUACUUUGACGUAAUUAGCCAUUUCAAAUCUGAGAGUAAAUUGAGCUGACUAUAUUGAUAAAAGUCACCUUGUCCAAGGAAACGUCACGCCAGGGUCACAGACGUGCUGAAUGGGAUUGCGAUCCGGGCUCUUCACUGGCCAUGGUAGAACACUGACAUUCAUGUCUUGCAGGAAAUCAUGCACAGAACGAGCAGCGUGGCUGGUGGCAUUGUCAUGCUGGAGGGUCAUGUCAGGAUGAGCCUGCAGGAAGGGUACCACAUGAGGGAGGAGGAUGUCUUCCCUGUAACGCACAGCGUUGAGAUUGCCUGCAUUGACAACAAGCUCAGUCCGAUGAUGCUGUGACACACCGCCCCUGACCAUGACUGACCCUCCACCUCCAAAUCGAUCCCGCUCCAGAGUACAGGCCUUGGUGUAAUGCUCAUUCCUUCGACGAUAAACGCAAAUCCGACAUCACCCCUGAUGAGACAAAACCGCGACUUGUCAGUGAAGAGCACUUUUUGCCAGUCCUGUCUGGUCCAGCAACGGUGGGUUUGUGCCCAUAGGCGACGUUGUUGCCGGUGAUGUCUGGUGAGGACCUGCCUUACAACAGGCCUACAAGCCCUCAGUCCAGCCUCUCUCAGCCUAUUGCGGGCAGUCUGAGCACUGAUGGAAGGAUUGUGCAUUCCUGGUGUAACUCGGGCAUGUGUUGUUGCCAUCCUGUACCUGUCCCGCAGGUGUGAGGUUCGGAUGUACCGAUCCUGUGCAGGUGUUGUUACACGUGGUCUGCCAAUGCGAGGAUGAUCAGCUGUCCGUCCUGUCUCCCUGUAGCACUGUCUUAGGCAUCUCAUAGUCCGGACAAAGCAAUUUAUUGCCGUAGCCACAUCUGCAGUUCUCAUGCCUCCUUGCAGCAUGCCUAAGGCACGUAUACGCAGAUGAGCAGGGACCCUGGGCAUCUUUCUUUUGGUGUUUUUCAGAGUCAGUAGAAAUGCCUCUUUAGUGUCCUAAGUUUUCAUAACUGUGACCUUAAUUGCCUACCGUCUGUAAGCUGUUAGUGUCUUAACGACCGUUCCACCGGUGCAUGUUCAUUAAUUGUUUAUGUUCAUUGAACAAUCAUGGGAAACAGUGUUUAAACCCUUUACAAUAAAGUUCUGUGAAGUUAUUUGAACUUUUACGAAUUAUCUUUGAAAGACAGGGUCCUGAAUAAGGGACAUUUCUUUUUUGCUGAGAUUAUUCUAAAAGUACUUUACCACCUUCAAAAUAUCGUUCUGUGAAUCAUGCGUGACUC